ensembl:lncRNA
GUUUAGCUUGAUUAGUGACGAUUGAAGAGAUUUUAUUUUUUUUCUUCCUCCACAUUUUUGUUUAAGUUUUGGACUUUUUCCAUCUUGAUUGAGAAGCACUCGUACAAACUAACGUUUCAGGAAGUUUGGUCACGCGCAUUUUUGUGUUCGGCACGUGUUAUCGCACGUGAGAUGCAAAUUGCUGUCUGCAGUUGGUGCUGAACAUCGGGGGGGUUCCAAGAUUUUUUAAGAUAUUUUUUUACCCGCCAUCCAACGACAUCUCAGUUUGACAUCUCAGUGGUGUAUCGCAGUUUAAUACAUCCCUGUUGGUUCAUUUCAUUUUUGAUUCACCUCAGUUUGAUUCAUUCGCUUUCGACUCAUUUUUGAUUCAUUUUUUUGUGGGACAUUUCAUUGAGCUUGAGUGACAUUGCUACGAAAUCUCAAGAUAAUUUCAACGCACGCUACGUCAAGACAACUCAUCUCAAUUCCUUAUUUUUUUUAUAUUUUUGAUCCGAGGAACUUUGAACUGUGAGAGUUCGGUUGAAUCACAGAACCUAAAGUGAACUGAAGCUGUCAAGGAGUAGGGGCGUCUCAGCUACUUUAUUAGACCAGAGGAGGGAGGAGUAUAUUAGAUUUUCUCACACCUUUUACUUUUACUUCAGGAAGCCAGUGACAUUACUUAAGCUGAAGCCUACCCUCGUCGGUCUGUACAUUCCAAUAAAGUAGAACACAACAUACAUACAAUUAGUGUGUAGUGAGACUAAAAGCACUGGAAGCGGAGACUAAGAUCUUUUCGUUAUUCAGUCUUCCGUGGCAGCACUAAUACAUCUUCCCCUACAAGACGGGAGUAGGGGCGUCUCAGCUACUUUAUUAGACCAGAGGAGGGAGGAGUAUAUUAGAUUUUCUCACACCUUUUACUUUUACUUCAGGAAGCCAGUGACAUUACUUAAGCUGAAGCCUACCCUCGUCGGUCUGUACAUUCCAAUAAAGUAGAACACAACAUACAUACAAUUAGUGUGUAGUGAGACUAAAAGCACUGGAAGCGGAGACUAAGAUCUUUUCGUUAUUCAGUCUUCCGUGGCAGCACUAAUACAUCUUCCCCUACAAGACGGGUUAAAUACUCGUUACACGU